UUUGGCAAAUUUGGGCUUCGGUCCGUUCGUCACUUCCUGCGAGUAACAUCAUGCAUAAAGCGUCACCCCACUAAAUCUAAUUAUCGCCUUCGUUCAUCCGAGUCUGAUCUCGGCGGCGAGAAUGACGAUCCAUCGUUCUCCUUCUCCCUGUAACAGAACUUGACUUUAAUGGCAUCAAUGCGUCCGUCGAGAUCUCCGUUAUAAAUAGGUUUUUUUUUUCUGAUUUGAAGACUAGGAAGUGUUCAAACGUUAAGCGGGAUGGAUAUUGCGGCUUCAUCUAAUCUCUUUGCAAUCUAAUCGCGUCUUCACACAGCUUCUUCCCCGUUUAUCUCCGCACCAAACAGGAAUUGAGUUUUUAUCCUCGCCAAAUCAUGCCCAGACAAUCAGAGCUUCGGUUCGAACGAUUCCAAUUUUCACUGGAGACAAACCAAUGAAACCCAGGGCAUCAGCAAUCGAUGUCAAGGAGACAGUGAAUGAUGACAUGUGUGUGCUUAUCUCCAGCUUAAUUACCAAUGCCUACACUUUGGUCUCUGUACAAAACGCAGAUGCUUUAGACAAGAAACCAUGAGUUUGCCGUAACUGCCAGUGCAUUGGUACUGUUCUUUGUGAUAUGUGCGGGGGUACAAGAAAAUGGAAAGCUCCCAACCGAAAACGAGCCAAAGAUAGGUUUGAGUUUACAGAAUGUCCGAACUGUUAAGUUGGAGGGUUUUCCCAGUCUGUUUAGGUACAUGUUUACCAAACAACAAAGGACUCCUUAGAAGGUGGUGCUCGUACAAUGUACAAUGGUUGUCUUCUUCCCAAUUCUUGAGCAGCACAAUGGCAAUAGUUAUGAUUAUAGAAGAGGAAGAAAAGUAAUACAUUGUCGACGCAUGUGAAGCUAUAGGAGAAUGGCAUGCUAGAACAUGUUUUUGUAAUGCUGCUAGAAAUGUGUUGUUAAUUCUUUACAAACCUAAGAGUUUUCUUUUUCUUUAGACAGUCUUGACAACUCAAUUUCACAUUCCCUA